CCUACGGGUGGCAGCAGUGAGGAAUAUUGGUCAAUGGGCGUAAGCCUGAACCAGCCAAGUCGCGUGAAGGCAGAAGGUCCUAUGGUUUGUAAACUUCUUUUAUAGGGGAAUAAAGUGACCCACGUGUGGAGCUUUGCAUGUACCCUAUGAAUAAGCAUCGGCUAACUCCGUGCCAGCAGCCGCGGUAAUACGGAGGAUGCGAGCGUUAUCCGGAUUUAUUGGGUUUAAAGGGUGCGUAGGCGGGUUUUUAAGUCAGCGGUGAAAAUUUGUGGCUCAACCCGACAAUUGCCGUUGAAACUGGGAGACUUGAGUGUGUUCAGGGUAGGCGGAAUUCGUGGUGUAGCGGUGAAAUGCAUAGAUAUCACGAAGAACUCCGAUGGCGAAGGC
rnacentral:rRNA from 1 species